rnacentral:lncRNA from 1 species
CUUUAAACUUCAAAGCAUCCAAUGAGGAACCAAAAUACGAGGCCUUACUAGCACCCUCUACUAGCGAAAAACUUAUCGGUGAAGAAGCUUGCAAUCUAUUCAGAUUCUUAGCUGACCAUCGAUUAAGCCUCAGAAAACCACACUAUGAAACAUUUAAAGAUGGGUGUAAUACCUGUGCUUCCCACUUACACCCUUAAGCGAGUUCCACAAGUAAUUCGAAGUCUCAAGCAGAUUGCUAAACAAGACCGCACAGGUUAAGGAUUAUUUCAAUUGUCCAGCAGUCCAGCUUUCCUCAACUGCGUUCACGACAACGACUUUCAUGCCCUCUAAUGCGAGAGGGUAAAUCAAUUCCCUGACGCCUAUUUAGGUUUGCUCUCCAGCGAUAAGGUAAACUAAUUUCCCAACACCCAUUUAGGUUUACUCUCCAGGGCGAGAGGGUAAACCAAUUCCCCGACACCUAUAUGGGUUUGCUCUCCAGUGCUAAUUCCCCGAAACACAUUUGGUUCUACUCUCCAAUGCAAGAAGGAAAACUAAUUCCCAAACACCAUUUGGGUUUGCUCUCCAGUGCAAAAGGAUAAACUAAUUGCUCUCUAGUGUGACAGGGUAAACUAAUUCUCGGACACCCAUUUAAUGCGAGAAGAUAAACUAAUUGCUCUCCAGUGCAAGAGGGUAAACUAAUUCCUCGACACCCAUCUGGGUCUACUCUCCAGUGCGAGAGGAUAAACUAAUUGCUCUCCAGUGCGAGAAGGUAAAAUAAUUCUCCGACACCUAUCUGGGUCUGUUCUCCUGUGCGAAAGGAUAAACUAAUUGUUCUCCAAUUUGGGAAGGUAAACUAAUUCUCUAACACCCAUCUGGGUCUACUCUCCAAUGCGAGAGGAUAAACUAAUUGCUCUCUAGUACAAAAGGGUAAACUAAUUUCCCAACACCCAUCUGGGUCUGCUCUCCAGUGUGAGAGGAUAAACUAAUUGCUCUCCAGUGCGAGAGGGUAAACUAAUUCCUCGACACCUAUCUGGGUUUGCUCUCCAGUGGGAGAGGAUAAACUAAUUGCUCUCUAGUACGAAAGGGUAAACUAAUUCUCUGACACCCAUCUAGGUUUACUCUUCAAUGGAAAUUGGCAAACUGCCAAUGAAUUUCCACAUAACUACUCAUUUUGAUGUGAUUAGUUAACGACUUUCAUAUUUGGCCACACAUCUCAAAAGAUUUAAUACUCGAAUACUAGCUAAGUAGCAAAUAGUCAGGGGGCAGCUGCCAUUUCACACUCAACAGUUUGCUCAUCCGACACUUCAUCUUCAGUAGCUCCAUCCUCGAUUGCUCCAUCUACGGUAGUUAAGAAAUCAAACUCAAGUAACUUCCUCAUUCUUUGUAAGUAGCACAGAUAAGGCAGCCCAAACCGUGGCCCAUGCCAUGCUAUUUCCUCUACCCAAGUUGAGCUAGCCCUUGGCUCCAAUCAACACAAGCAGCACAAGUCAU